rnacentral:rRNA from 1 species
GUGGGGAAUUUUGGACAAUGGGCGCAAGCCUGAUCCAGCAAUGCCGCGUGAGUGAAGAAGGCCUUCGGGUUGUAAAGCUCUUUCAGUCGAGAAGAAAAGGUUGUGACUAAUAAUCAUAACUCAUGACGGUAUCGACAGAAGAAGCACCGGCUAACUACGUGCCAGCAGCCGCGGUAAUACGUAGGGUGCGAGCGUUAAUCGGAAUUACUGGGCGUAAAGGGUGCGCAGGCGGUUCUGUAAGUCAGAUGUGAAAUCCCCGGGCUUAACCUGGGAACUGCGUUUGAAACUACAGAGCUAGAGUGUGGCAGAGGGGGGUGGAAUUCCAUGUGUAGCAGUGAAAUGCGUAGAGAUAUGGAAGAACAUCGAUGGCGAAGGCAGCCCCCUGGGUUAACACUGACGCUCAUGCACGAAAGCGUGGGGAGCAAACAGGAUUAGAUACCCGAGUAGUCC